UACGUAGGGUGCAAGCGUUAAUCGGAAUUAUUGGGCGUAAAGGGUGCGCAGGCGGAUGUAUAAGUCAGAUGUGAAAUCCCCGGGCUUAACCUGGGAAUUGCGUUUGAAACUAUAUGACUAGAGUGUGAUAGAGGGGAGUGGAAUUCCAUGUGUAGCAGUGAAAUGCGUAGAGAUGUGGAAGAACACCGAUGGCGAAGGCAGCUCCCUGGAUUAACACUGACGCUCAUGCACGAAAGCGUGGGGAGCAAACAGGAUUAGAUACCCUGGUAGUCCACGCCCUAAACGAUGUCAACUAGUUGUCGGAUCUGUUAAAAGAUUUGGUAACGUAGCUAACGCGUGAAGUUGACCGCCUGGGAAGUACGGUCGCAAGAUUAAAACUUAAAUGAAUUGACGG
rnacentral:rRNA from 1 species